AUUGCUCUAUCAGAGUGAGGUAGUAGAUUGUAUAGUUGUGGGGUAGUGAUUUUACCCUGUUCAGGAGAUAACUAUACAAUCUAUUGCCUUCCCUGAGGAGUAGAC
ensembl:miRNA MIRLET7F1 microRNA let-7f-1